rnacentral:lncRNA from 1 species
CCAGAGUGUGGGGGGAGCGUGGCUGCUCAUAAAAGCCUCCAUGCUGUUGCUCAGCUAAUUAUGAAGCUCUUACUGUCUCCGCAGGUAAAUAAGUCAGGACUGAGCAGUUCCGGCUGCUGAGAUGGAGUCUGAUCGAGGGAACAGGACAAGGAUGCAGGCCUGACUCUGGGGCUUUGAAUGAGUUCUGGGCUGCAGUUGUGAUUAAGGCCACUUGCCACUAGACGAAGGAAGUGUACCGGGGACCAGUUUGGCGGCCAGGCUUCACUCUUAAAGGGCUGCUUGUUAGAGGCUGAUGUAAAGAACCUGGGCAAUGUCAUCUGCGAAUGGAACAAAGGUGAGCUUCAUGUGAGAUGGACUGGGAAGUCCCUUUGGCAACCCCUGCCACACAAGUUUCUCUGUAAGGAGGCAUGUGAUGACUUCAGCCCUUGGCCUUUGGAUCCUAUAAUAGUGGAACAACUGGAGGAGAGUACCAGACCCCAUGACUGGAUUCUGAUAGAGGGAGCUGGAAAUCAGAUCCCACACCAAAAACUCAAGACUGGAGUCCAUCUGUUGAUAGCAAGCAGGUCUUAUCUUUAUUUUGUGAUGCAUUAUUUACUUUUUUUUAAAUUAUACUUUAAGUUUUAGGGUACAUGUGCACAACGUGCAGGUUUGUUACAUAUGUAUACACGUGCCACGUUGCUGUGCUGCACCCAUUAACAUUAGGUAUAUCUUCUAAUGCUAUCCCUCCCCCUUCCCAAAGCACUUUAAACUUUUUUUUUUUUUUGAGAUAGAGUUUAGCUCUUGUUGCCCGGGCUGGAGUGCAAUGGCACGAUCUCGGCUCACCGCAACCUCCACCUCCUGGGUUCAAGCGAUUCUCCUGCCUCAGCCCCCCGAGUAGGUGGGAUUACAGGCAUGUGCCACCACGCCUGGCUAAUUUUGUAUUUUUAGUAGAGACAGGGUUUCUCCAUGUUGGUCAGGCUGGUCUCAAACUCCUGACCUCAGGUAAUCCACCCACCUCAGCCUCCCAAAGUGUUGGGAUUAUAGGCGUGAGCCACCACGCCCCAUUAUUUACUUUUCAAAGCAUUGUUCAAUACAUUUUUUCAUUUUGAUCCUCAUAACUCUUUGAUAGGGGUAGAGCAAAUAUAAACAGCCCCAAUUUCAAAUAAGGUAAGUUGAAGUCUGAGAAGUUAAGCUCACAGAGGUCCCCUGGCUAGGUAAUGGCAGAGCCAGGACCGUAAUCAUCAGGACUCCUGACUCUGACACUGGUGCUUUCUCUAAGACAUAGUUGGGAAGGAGAGAGACCCCACAGUGAGGAGUUCACCUCAGGCCUUUUCCUCCUUUCCUCCUCUGUUAACUGGAGGAGGAAGUGGAGAAAGCCAGAAUCGACAUGGAUGGCAAGCUAAGGUGACAUCAGGACCGUGAUGCCUAACUGAGCACGUCAAAGCAGAGGAGGCCAGCAGUAGAAAGUAGGAAGUGAGGAAGGAAACAGGUGGAGGUUUGCAUGGACACUUCCUGUUCACAAACUUCUUAUGUUCCUCAUUUCAUUAACAGCAGCAGUGGAAUUUCAUGGACAAUUGGCGCUGAGCACUAACUGGGAGGUAAUGAGAGAGGGAAGAUGCAGGUAAAGGCUGUUUGAAUUUAAAUUCUUUUUCUUUGGGGGGAUGGAGGGGGGCAGAUUUUUCUAAAGGCAAUUUUAGUGCUGGAAAAAGUUUCUAGCAAACAGCUUUUGGACUUUUGUGUCUUCUACUGACAGCGUUAAGACUGUCAGCAGGUCUCCAGCCUGCCAGCCUACUCUGCAGAAUCUGGACUUGCUAAACCUCCGGAAUCACUAGUGUUAUGGGCUGAAAUAUGUCCCCUUUGUCUGCUGCCCACUCCCCAAAAUUCAUAUGUUGACAUCCUAACCCCUAGUACUCAGAAUAUGACUGUUUGAACAUAGGGCCUUGAAAAAAGUGAUUAAGGUUAAAAGAGGUCACUAGGAUGGACCCUAAACCAACAACACUGGUGCCCUUGUUAGAAGAGAAAAUCUGGACACAGACAUGAGCAUGCACAGAGGAAAGGUCAUGUGAAAACAAAGCAAGAAGUCAGCAACCUGCAAGCCAAGGACAGGGCUCAGAAGAAAGCCACCCACCCUGUUUGCACCUUGAUCUUAGGCUUCUAGCUUCCAGACUGGUGAGAAAAUAAAUCUCUCUUAAAGCAACUUAGUGUGUAGUAUUUCCUAGCUGACUAGUUCAGGGACAGUGGAUUAUAACUUCCUUGAAGCAAAGGACCGUGAACUAUGCCUGUCCUCCCACUCCAUGCAUUGCCCCUUGUGUGUGGACUAAAUGAUGUGCUAGACUGGGCUUAGAAGCCUUGGCACCUGCUAC